AGGGUUCGAUCCUGGCUCAGGACGAACGCUGGCGGCGUGCCUAACACAUGCAAGUCGAGCGGGGAUCAUCGAAGGAAGUUUUCGGAUGGAAUUUGGUGAUUCUAGCGGCGGACGGGUGAGUAACGCGUGAGCAACCUGCCUUUCACAGGGGGAUAACGCAUCGAAAGGUGCACUAAUACCGCAUGAGACCACGCUCCCGACAUGAGAGAGGGGUCAAAGGAGCAAUCCGCUUUGAGACGGCCUCGCGUCCGAUUAGCUAGUUGGUGAGGUAACGGCCCACCAAGGCAACGAUCGGUAGCCGGACUGAGAGGUUGAACGGCCACAUUGGGACUGAGACACGGCCCAG
rnacentral:rRNA from 1 species